CCUACGGGGUGCAGCCGUGAGGAAUAUUGGUCAAUGGCCGGAAGGCUGAACCAGCCAUGCCGCGUGAAGGUCAGUGCCCUAUGGGCGUUAAACUUCUUUUGUGCAGGAGCAAUAAUGGUCACGUGUGGCCAGACGAGAGUACCGUACGAAUAAGCAUCGGCUAACUCCGUGCCAGCAGCCGCGGUAAUACGGGGGAUGCCAGCGUUAUCCGGAUUUUUUUGGUUUAAAGGGUGCGUAGGCUGUGAGGUAAGUCAGCUGUGAAAUGCCCCCGCUCAACGGGGUGAAGUGCCAUUGAUACUGCCUUGCUGGAAUGCGGAUGACGUGGGAGGAAUGUGUGGUGUAGCGGUGAAAUGCAUAGAUAUCACACAGAACACCGAUUGCGAAGGCAUCUCACGAAUCCGCGAUUGACGCUGAGGCACGAAGGCCAGGGGAGCGAAAGGGAUUAGAUACCCCUGUAGUC
rnacentral:rRNA from 1 species